rnacentral:rRNA from 1 species
CCUACGGGAGGCAGCAGUGGGGAAUAUUGCACAAUGGGGGAAACCCUGAUGCAGCGACGCCGCGUGAGUGAAGAAGUAUUUCGGUACGUAAAGCUCUAUCAGCAGGGAAGAAAAUGACGGUACCUGACUAAGAAGCCCCGGCUAACUACGUGCCAGCAGCCGCGGUAAUACGUAGGGGGCCAGCGUUAUCCGGAUUUACUGGGUGUAAAGGGAGCGUAGACGGCAGCGCAAGUCUGGAGUGAAAUCCCAUGGCUUAACCAUGGAACUGCUUUGGAAACUGUGCAGCUAGAGUGCAGGAGAGGUAAGCGGAAUUCCUAGUGUAGCGGUGAAAUGCGUAGAUAUUAGGAGGAACACCAGUGGCGAAGGCGGCUUACUGGACUGUAACUGACGUUGAGGCUCGAAAGCGUGGGGAGCAAACAGGAUUAGAUACCCUAGUAGUC